rnacentral:rRNA from 1 species
UAAGGAAUAUUGGUCAAUGGACGCAAGUCUGAACCAGCCAUGCCGCGUGAAGGAUGAAGGUCCUCUGGAUUGUAAACUUCUUUUAUCUGGGACGAAAACGGGAUUUUUAUCUCAAUUGACGGUACCAGAGGAAUAAGCACCGGCUAACUCCGUGCCAGCAGCCGCGGUAAUACGGAGGGUGCGAGCGUUAUCCGGAUUUACUGGGUUUAAAGGGUGCGUAGGUGGGCUUAUAAGUCAGUGGUGAAAUCUCCGAGCUUAACUUGGAAACUGCCGUUGAUACUAUAGGUCUUGAAUUAUCUGGAGGUAAGCGGAAUAUGUCAUGUAGCGGUGAAAUGCUUAGAUAUGACAUAGAACACCAAUUGCGAAGGCAGCUUACUACAUAUAAAUUGACGCUGAGGCACGAAAGC